AAUAAGUUACUAUACACUGAACAAUUUUCAAUUGUCAAUAUUAUUUGUGCCAGUCAAAAAUAAUACGUACGUCUAUUGAUUAAUUACUGUGAUAUUAUUACAUUCGAUGGAAAUAAAUUUGACUUAAGAAUAUAACAGUAAUCAUGUAGCGACAACUCGAGGAAUCUCACUUAAGUUGUACUUUUUUCUAUUUCAAUAAUUCAAUUUGAGGUGUUGAUACUACUCGAUAUCCGUUGUGCCAUAUGCAAUUAGCGCCGGAUUAAGGGGAAAGAGACAAAAGGACAGCUGCCCUGGUAGUCAAAUUAUUUGAAGAAAAAAACAUUUUUCAUCAACACGAAGCUAUUUAUUAUGAACUAAGAUUGACGUAUACUUUUUGUUGACGUGAGAAAACUGUUUCAGCAAUGGAGACAUAUGUAACCUGUAACUACAAGUUAUCAAAUUUGUCUGAAGAAAAUUAGCAUUUGUAUGUUAAUACACGAUCGUAAGAAGCUUAGAGUGUAUUAUUAGGAUGUUGAUGAUUAAUAUGUGGACGAAACAAAUCAUUUCUUUAAAAAUAAUUUCAACAAUUAUUGUUAAUAUAAAAAAA